rnacentral:rRNA from 1 species
AGCAGCAGCCAUAUCACUGUGCAGCUCACAGCUGGCAACCCCCUGAAGUUAAGCGGGUGUGAGCCUGGUCAGUACCUGGAUGGGAGACCUCCUGGGAGAAACUAAGGUUGCUGCUGGAA